rnacentral:siRNA from 1 species
UAUCAUCAUCAUACUCAACGUCCU